rnacentral:tRNA from 1 species
GUCGGGAUAGCUCAUUUGGUAGAGCAGAGGAC